UACGUAGGGGGCAAGCGUUGUCCGGAAUCAUUGGGCGUAAAGAGCGCGUAGGCGGCCCGAUAAGUCCGCUGUGAAAGUCAAGGGCUCAACCCUUGAAUGCCGGUGGAUACUGUCGGGCUAGAGUCCGGAAGAGGCGAGUGGAAUUCCUGGUGUAGCGGUGAAAUGCGCAGAUAUCAGGAGGAACACCAAUGGCGAAGGCAGCUCGCUGGGACGGUACUGACGCUGAGGCGCGAAAGCGUGGGGAGCAAACGGG
rnacentral:rRNA from 1 species